CAGUCGCCGCGGUAAUACGAAGGGUGCAAGCGUUAAUCGGAAUUACUGGGCGUAAAGCGUGCGUAGGCGGUGAGUUAAGUCUGCUGUGAAAUCCCCGGGCUCAACCUGGGAAUGGCAGUGGAUACUGGCUCGCUAGAGUGUGUCAGAGGAUGGUGGAAUUCCCGGUGUAGCGGUGAAAUGCGUAGAGAUCGGAAGGAACACCAGUGGCGAAAGCGGCUCACUGGACCAUAACUGACGCUGAGGCACGAAAGCUAGGGGAGCAAACAGGAUUAGAUACCCCUGUAUCCCUGUCUCUUAUACA
rnacentral:rRNA from 1 species